AUGCUCACUUUAACAGCACAUAUACUAAACCUGGAAUGAUACAGAGAAGAUUAGCAUGGCCCCUGUCCAAGAAUGACACGCAAAUUGGUAUAUUCCAUAUUUUU
rnacentral:snRNA from 1 species